GGUUGACCUCGGAUCAGGUAGGAUACGCGCUGAACUUAAGCAUAUCAUAAG
rnacentral:rRNA from 1 species